rnacentral:rRNA from 1 species
UACGGAGGGUGCAAGCGUUAUCCGGAUUUACUGGGUUUAAAGGGUGCGUAGGCGGGUUGAUAAGUCAGUGGUGAAACCUCCGAGCUUAACUCGGAAACUGCCAUUGAUACUAUCAGUCUUGAAUUCAGUUGAGGUGGGCGGAAUGUGUCGUGUAGCGGUGAAAUGCUUAGAUAUGACACAGAACACCAAUUGCGAAGGCAGCUCGCUAAACUGACAUUGACGCUGAGGCACGAAAAGCGUGGGGGAGCAAAACAGG